AACGAACGCUGGCGGCAGGCCUAACACAUGCAAGUCGAACGCUGCAGCAAUGCAGAGUGGCAGACGGGUGAGUAACACGUGGGAAUCUUCCUAUCGGUACGGAAUAGCUCAGGGAAACUUGGGGUAAUACCGUAUACGCCCUUUGGGGGAAAGAUUUAUCGCCGAUAGAUGAGCCCGCGUCUGAUUAGCUAGUUGGUGAGGUAAUGGCUCACCAAGGCGACGAUCAGUAGCUGGUCUGAGAGGAUGACCAGCCACACUGGGACUGAGACACGGCCCAGACUCCUACGGGAGGUAGCAGUGGGGAAUAUUGGACAAUGGGCGCAAGCCUGAUCCAGCCAUGCCGCGUGAGUGACGAAGGUCUUCGGAUUGUAAAGCUCUUUUGGCGGGGACGAUAAUGACGGUACCCGCAGAAUAAGCCCCGGCUAACUUCGUGCCAGCAGCCGCGGUAA
rnacentral:rRNA from 1 species